rnacentral:lncRNA from 1 species
CAACCACCACAGGUGGAGCAAAAGGAAAGGUGCGAUGAAGGGGCCUCCUAGGCAGGUGUGGCCAGACAGAGAACUCUCAGGGAUGAAGAAGAACCCUUGGACCAGCAACAGCUGUUGCUAUUACAACCCCGGUGGCUGAGGGAACAUGAAGGUGAAGUCAUGAUACUUGAGGCCAUUUUGGGCUAGAACCAUUGAGGUGAAACUUCCUGGUGGAGACAACUUCCAAGAGGAAGUAGCAACUUCUGGAGACCUCCCUGAAGCAGGGAGAGAGCAAAGAAGAAAUACCCCAGCCUCGCCUCCUGCUCUUGACCAAACCCAAGCAGAAGAUAGAGUGCAAUGAGAGCCCAGAAGGGGCCGUCUUCAAGACCAGGCUCCCAGGACACAGAGCAGAGAAUGAGGGAAGGCGGCCGAGGAUCACCAGCACAGCCAAAGAGUGCUUACGGUGGGGUUCACUUCCCCCUGGGGCUCUAAGCUGGUUGCUCCCCAGCUGGUGGCUACCAUCUGCCAUUGUCUGCCUCACUGGCUGAGUCAUAUGGACAACCUAGAAAGAAACCGGACAGCCUUAUUCCUGUCUCUCCCAGAAGUGGUAACAAAAACCCUGGAGAGGGAGCUCCCUUUGUCCUAGACUUCUGGCCUCGUUGGAUCCACUGGCUCUUCAGAGGCCAGGUAUCCGCCAGGUAGAAGCACGAUGCCCAGUUCCCACCUGGGCCACCCGCCAUCUCAAGGAGACAGAGAGUUCCUUCCACAUGACAAUCGGCCGCAAAAAUUACCUAAACCAAGAGGCAUCAGACUGUUUGCUUUGUUUCAGUCAGGCUCUCUUUCAGAGUGCCGACUACCUGGAGGUCACAUACUUGCAAUGUGAAGUAAGGGAGCCUGGAACAGAAGUGUUCUAUAAUGCGUGAGCAUGAAUUGCCAAAUCCGGGUUACCCAGCACAUCUCCAAGGAGUUGCCACGGGCGCCAAGUUUGAUAACUUUUGCAAAUACACAUUCGACUCAUUCAGCAUGUUUCCUAUCCUAGAUUAGUGUCCUAAAGUCACAGGAAAAAAUUACUUAGUAGGAGGGUGUACUUGAGUGCUGGUUAAAGAUUUCUCGCCAGUACUCGGGAGGAGGAAAGUACACAGAAUGGGAACCACAUGGAUAGGUGAUCUCUUUCAACAAUUUUUGUGCACCGUUUGACAUUUUUAUGUGUACCCUUGACCAAAAAAAUGAAUGUGAUUUACAGAAAAACCACCAGGCCAUGAUUUCCCAUAUUAUUUUAAAAAUAUUUUUCACUGUAGUCAAAUAUACCUUAAUUUUACCGUUUUAACCAUUUUUAAGUGUACAGUUGAGUGGCAUGAAGUACAUUCAUAUUGUUGUGCAACCAUCACCACCUUCUAUCUCCAG